CUUUUAUCCAGAGAGGUGGAGGGACCGGCCCUAUGAAACCUCGGCAACCCGGAUUGGACGGCAGGGAUUGCGUCCAAUCGACAAGGUGCCAACUCCGGCAGACGAUUCUGGAAGAUGAGAG
rnacentral:ncRNA from 1 species